GACGAACGCUGGCGGCGUGCCUAACACAUGCAAGUCGAGCGAAGUGAGUACUACGGUACGAACUUAGCGGCGGACGGGUGAGUAACGCGUGGACAAUCUACCCUGUAGACUGGGAUAACACCUCGAAAGGGGUGCUAAUACCGGAUAAUGUCGAGAAGCGGCAUCGCUUUUCGAAGAAAGGUGAGAAUCCGCUAUAGGAGGAGUCCGCGUCCCAUUAGCUAGUUGGUGAGAGUAACGGCCCACCAAGGCGACGAUGGGUAGCCGGCCUGAGAGGGUGAACGGCCACACUGGAACUGAGACACGGUCCAGACUCCUACGGGAGGCAGCAGUGGGGAAUAUUGUGCAAUGGGGGAAACCCUGACACAGCAACGCCGCGUGAGCGAAGAAGGCCUUCGGGUUGUAAAGCUCAAUAGUAUGGGAAGAUAAUGACGGUACCAUACGAAAGCCCCGGCUAACUACGUGCCAGCAGCCGCCGUAAUAC
rnacentral:rRNA from 1 species